GUGUCAGCAGCCGCGGUAAUACGUAGGGUGCGAGCGUUAAUCGGAAUUACUGGGCGUAAAGCGUGCGCAGGCGGUUCGUCGUGUCCGAUGUGAAAGCCCCGGGCUUAACCUGGGAACGGCAUUGGAAACUGGCGGGCUGGAGUGUGGCAGAGGGGGGUGGAAUUCCACGUGUAGCAGUGAAAUGCGUAGAGAUGUGGAGGAACACCGAUGGCGAAGGCAGCCCCCUGGGCCAACACUGACGCUCAGGCACGAAAGCGUGGGGAGCAAACAGGAUUAGAUACCCUGGUAGUCCACGCCCUAAACGAUGUCAACUGGGUGUUGGGGAAGCGAUUCCUUGGUACCGUAGCUAACGCGUGAAGUUGACCGCCUGGGGAGUACGGCCGCAAGGUUAAA
rnacentral:rRNA from 1 species